AACAGCAGCUGGUGUUAACAAUCAUGUUCACACAGCUCUACCAGAAGUGCUUCAAACGGCUCUUGUCACCUGGAAGCCAUUUCCUCCAGAGCUGAAAACAUUCAGUUUGUGUGAGCACUCCAGGCUGCUUCACAGCAAAGUAACCAUAAAGUAACUUAAAUCAUCAUCAGGGUCAGAGUCAAGGAGCAUUAGCAUGAGACCUGUCAAAAGGAGUGGAGUGGAAGGUAACUGAACAACUGGUUUGGCUGGAGGAAAAAAUUUUGCAGGCUGCACCUCCCUGACCCCAUGUGUCUGGAUGGCAGGUAGAGCUGAAACCUGGACCUUCCUUUGCACCCUGAGACCUACUCCACUGCCUGGAGUCCACUGGGGAUUUACACCUAACAGAGACAUUGCAUCCGAGGAGUUCAGCUUUCCUAGGACUGAUUGAUCUCCCCAGAUUGUUCACAUACGGAGCUACAUUUCUUUUUCUAGAGCCUUAAGUUUGUCAAAACAGGCUUAGAAGGAGUCAGAAUUAUUUUUUAUUUUAAUUUCUGACCUGAUUGAAGGCUAAAUGCUGUAAUUCCAAAGGCCCAGUGAGAAUGAGGAUGACUGACAAGUGCAAACUCCCACAACCUGUUCUGGUCACUACUGGCCAUAGCUGGGGAGGCAGAGCUGCAGGAAUGCCCAGGGUUGGAUGGCAGUGACAGAAAGCCCCAGGGUCCUCAGAUACACAGGGUCCUGCAUCCUCCAGCAAAAUCAAAAAGCCAGAAUCCAUGUAUAUUUAUGAAUGUUUAGUAUGCAUUACAAUUUUUCUACAAUUUGACAUUAAAGUAAUAAACAUAAAUUCAAAAAGCCCCUGCAAUCAAAGGCAGUGUCGGAGGACAACUUAUUUCAUUUGUACCUAUAAAAUGUCACCCUACUACAGUUCCUGUGCUAAAAAUAUGUUUAGUAUAUCAUAUUGAGAUUGGUUUUUAAAUAGUAAUUUAGUUACUCUUUUGAACAUAACACCUUGAUGUCUGUCUAUAUAUAAUUUCAUUUUGGAGUCUACAGAAGAUGGAAAAUAAAUUUUUCAUUAUGGUUUCAUGUAGGUUUCAACAUGGAAGUUGGAAGUUGACUAAAUGGCGCUAUAUAUAUAU